rnacentral:rRNA from 1 species
CGAACGGGUGAGUAAUGCGUGACCAACCUGCCCCAUGCUCCAGAAUAGCUCUUGGAAACGGGUGGUAAUGCUGGAUGCUCCAACUUGACGCAUGUCUUGUUGGGAAAGUGUUUAGUGGCAUGGGAUGGGGUCGCGUCCUAUCAGCUUGUAGGCGGGGUAAUGGCCCACCUGGCUUCGACGGGUAGCCGGCCUGAGAGGGCGGACGGCCACAUUGGGACUGAGAUACGGCCCAGACUCCUACGGGAGGCAGCAGGU